rnacentral:snRNA from 1 species
GAAGGUGAGGACAAUCUGACUAUUCCAUCUGUGAACUUACUGUUCACCAGGAUUGAUCUGAUUGGCCAGGUGAAUGUCCCUUCUUUCUUCACUAUAUCAUGGACUUCCUUUUCAGUGCUGUGGGCUUCAAGACAAGGAUAACUGAUUCAGGCAGGAGGGCCAUCUUGUCAAGCAAGGAUAUAUGAGUAGCUAUGUCAUCCUCUAAAAUCUCUAGCCAUGCCCUCAAAUCCAAAAAGCCCAGUUCACUCAUGUGCUCCUUU